rnacentral:rRNA from 1 species
UGGGGAAUUUUGCACAAUGGGGGGAACCUUGAUGCAGCGACGCCGCGUGAGGGAUGGAGGCCUUCGGGUUGUGAACCUCUUUCGCUCGUGUGCAAGCCGCUAUUUGGUAGUGGUGGGGGUUGCGGGUAAAGAAGCGCCGGCCAACUACGUGCCAGCCGCCGCGGUAAUACGUAGGGCGCGAGCGUUGUCCGGAUUUAUUGGGCGUAAAGGGCUUGUAGGCGGUUUGUCGGGCCUGUCGUGUAAUCCUCUGGCUUAACUGGGGGUGUGCGGUGGGUACGGGCAGGCUUGAGUGCGGUAGGGGAGAUUGGAAUUCCUGGUGUAGCGGUGGAAUGCGCAGAUAUCAGGGGGAACACCGGUGGCGAAGGCGGGUCUCUGGGCCGUUACUGACGCUGAGGAGCGAAAGCGUGGGGAGCGAACAGG